rnacentral:rRNA from 1 species
GACGAACGCUGGCGGCGUGCUUAACACAUGCAAGUCGAACGGAAAGGCCCUGCUUUUGUGGGGUGCUCGAGUGGCGAACGGGUGAGUAACACGUGAGUAACCUGCCCUUGACUUUGGGAUAACUUCAGGAAACUGGGGCUAAUACCGCAUAGGAGCUCCUGCUGCGUGUGGGGGGUUGGAGAGUUUCGGCGGUUGGGGAUGGACUCGCUGCUUAUCCGCUUGUUGGGGGGGUAGUGGUUUACCAAGGCUUUGACGGGUAGCCUGCAUGAGAGGUUGAACGGGCACAUUGGGACUGAGAUACGCACCAGAAUGCUACGUGAGGCAGCAGUGGGGAAUAUUGCACAAUGGGCGGAAGUCUGAGGUAGCAACGCCGCGUGCGGGAUGACGGCCUUCGGGUUGUAAACCGAUGUGGCCUGUGACGAAGCGUGAGUGACGGUAAUGGGUAAAGAAGCACCGGCUAACUACGUG